rnacentral:rRNA from 1 species
ACUCAAAGGAAUAGACGGGGGCCCGCACAAGCGGUGGAGUAUGUGGUUUAAUUCGAUGCAACGCGAAGAACCUUACCGGGGUUUGACAUGCACUGGACAGGUGUAGAAAUACACCCUCCCUUCGGGGUCGGUGCACAGGUGCUGCAUGGCUGUCGUCAGCUCGUGUCGUGAGAUGUUGGGUUAAGUCCCGCAACGAGCGCAACCCUCGUCUCUAGUUGCCAGCGGGUAACGCCGGGCACUCUAGAGAGACUGCCGGUGGCAAGCCGGAGGAAGGUGGGGAUGACGUCAAGUCCUCAUGGCCCUUACACCCCGGGCUACACACGUACUACAAUGGCCGGUACAAUGGGUCGCAAUGCCGUGAGGUGGAGCCAAUCCAAAAAACCGGUCUCAGUUCGGAUCGCAGUCUGCAACUCGACUGCGUGAAGUCGGAAUCGCUAGUAAUCGCGGAUCAGCAAGCCGCGGUGAAUACGUUCCCGGGCCUUGCACACACCGCCCGU